CUCCAAUCUCCUCUGUGGAGCUUUGCAGCCCAUUCAGGGUUAUCUUUGGUCUCUUUGUUGCCUCUCUGAUGAAUGCCCUCCUUGCUUGGUCCUUGAGUUUUGGUGGGCAGCCCUCUCUUGGAAGGUUUGUUGUGGGGCUAUAUUCUUUCAAUUUUUUAAUAAUGGAUUAAAUGGUGCUCUGUGGGAUGUUCAAAGUUUCAGAUAUUUUUUAUAACCCAACCCUAAUCUGUACUUCUCCACAACUUUGUCCCUGACCUGUUUGGAGAGCUCCUUGGUCUUCAUGGUGCCGCUUGCUUCGUGGUGUUGCAGAUUCUUGGGUCUUUCAGAACAGGUGUAUGUAUACUGAGAUCAUGUGACAGAUCAUGUGACACUUAGAUUGCACACAGGUGGACUUUAUUUAACAAAUUAUGUGACUUCUGAAGGUAAUUGGUUGCACCAGUUUAUUUACAUUUAAAAAAAAAAAUGUUAACAAGUACUAUUUUGUUUAUUUCCAUUAUAUGAAAUCCAAAUAAAAAUCUAUUUAAAUUACAGGUUAUAAUGCAACAAAAAAGCAAAAAUGCCAAGGGGAUGAAUACUUUUGCAAGGCAUUGUAUGGCGUAGAAAAAGACGAGUGACUGGGGUUUAAAGGAAUCCUCUGACAGUGACGGUGGAUGGGAUCAAUAUGGGAUUUCAGUCACUGACUGAGUUUUUCCAGUGACUGUUUUGGUAUGGAGAGAAGAUAAAAAAAUAUUGACUACCCAUUGGGUUGGAGAAGAUGAUUGAUGGUGAAUGAAAUUCAUGCAAAUUAUAGGGUUAAUCAGAGGCCUACUGUAAUUUUCUCCAUUGUUAAAAUGGGUGCAAUGGACAGUGGCAAUGCAGUUAGUGGAACAUGUAAAUAUGUGAAAGAAAGCACACCUACCUGGGGACAGAGCGGCAGAGACAGUGAAGGAAAUGCCUGAGAGAGAGUGAAAUAAGAGGCUCUCUAUCUCUGAGCUGUGAAGCACACCUUUCUGUCUGACAGGACUGACUGCCCUAGUUUCUUAUGAAGAAGAUAUUCUCUAAGCUGACCUGCCUGAAGAGGAGAUGAAGCCUAGACCAACCACCUUCUAGGAUGAUUCUUAUCAAAAACAGUGUGAUCCAUCUAUUGGUUUUGCAGGGGUAUUUGAUUGUACAUAGUCUUAAAUCAGAUAGAGAUUUGAAAUUAUUAUCAAUGUCUUCAUCUUCAUGCUUUUAUAAUUGUUUUCCUUAAUUCUGGAAAAAAAUUAUAACUUGUCAGACAGUCAAGCAUGACUGAUUGAUUUUUAUUUGGACGUUUUAACAAACGCAAUGGCUAUGUUUCUACGGUCCAUGUGAUUGGUUCAUGGCUUUGCAGAGUGUUCUGAUCAGUAGUUACCCACACAUUUUAAUCAGCCUUCUCUUUGGGUAAACCAUCAUGAGCUGGAUAUUGGGCAAUUGUCUUUAAUAUUUAAACAAUUAUUUGAAAUCUAAUUUGCAAUUAGUCUGCCAUGUCUCUUUCAAGGAGGUACAUUUCUUUUUUUAUUGGAAAUGUGAGAAUGUUGUUUAUUUCAUGUUAUUUUAAUAAAAUGAAGUGAAACUAA
ensembl:lncRNA